GAUGAACGCUGGCGGCGUGCCUAAUACAUGCAAGUCGAGCGAACAGACGAGGAGCUUGCUCCUCUGACGUUAGCGGCGGACGGGUGAGUAACACGUGGAUAACCUACCUAUAAGACUGGGAUAACUUCGGGAAACCGGAGCUAAUACCGGAUAAUAUAUUGAACCGCAUGGUUCAAUAGUGAAAGACGGUUUUGCUGUCACUUAUAGAUGGAUCCGCGCCGCAUUAGCUAGUUGGUAAGGUAACGGCUUACCAAGGCAACGAUGCGUAGCCGACCUGAGAGGCGGGUAGGCCGCACUGGAACGGGACCGGGGACCAGGGUACUGCGGGAGGGAGCAGUAGGGAACCUUCGGCAGUGGGCGAAAGCCUGACGGAGUAAGCCCGAGUGAGAGAUAAAGGUCUUGGGAUCGUAAAACUCUGUUAUGAGGUGAAAACAACUUUGUACGUAACUAUACAGUUCUUGACGGUACCUAAUAAAAAAGCCACGGCUAACUACGUG
rnacentral:rRNA from 1 species